rnacentral:rRNA from 1 species
UUUAACUGAGCGUUCAGUUACUUGACGUAGACCCGAAACCGGGCGACCUACCCAUGAGCAGGAUGAAGCGAAAGUAAAAUUUCGUGGAGGUCCGAACCCACGAGCGUUGAAAAGCUCGGGGAUGACUUGUGGGUAGCGGUGAAAUUCCAAUCGAGCCCGGAGAUAGCUGGUUCUCCCCGAAAUAGCUUUAGGGCUAGCCUCAAGGUGAGAGAUACGGAGGUAGAGCACUGAAUGUCCUAGGGGGUAUUGCACCUACCGAAGACUAUCAAACUCCGAAUGCCGUCAUCUUAUACUUGGGAGUCAGACUGUGGGUGAUAAGAUUCAUAGUCGAAAGGGCAACAGCCCAGAUCGUCAGCUAAGGUCCCUAAAUGUAAGUUAAGUGGUAAAGGAUGUGGGAUUGCACAGACAACCAGGAUGUUGGCUUAGAAGCAGCCACUCAUUCAAAGAGUGCGUAAUAGCUCACUGGUCGAGUGAUCCUGCGCCGAAGAUUUCCGGGGCUAAAACUUACUACCGAAGCUACGGCAUCAGUAAUGAUGGGUAGGGGAGCUUCCCAUACGGGUUGAAGCAUGACCGUAAGGACAUGUGGACAGUAUGGGAGUGAGAAUGUUGGCAUGAGUAGCGAGAUGUGGGUGAGAAUCCCACAGGCCGUAAACCCAAGGUUUCCAGGGGAAGGUUCGUCCGCCCUGGGUU